CACGUAUUUAGCCGGAGCUUCUUUUUCAGGUACCGUCACUUUCUUCCCUGCUGAUAGAGCUUUACAUAACGAAUUACUUCUUCACUCACGCGGCGCCGCUGCAUCAGAGUUCCCUCCAUUGUGCAAUAUUCCCCACUGCUGCCUCCCGUAGGAGUCUGGGCCGUGUCUCAGUCCCAAUGUGGCCGUCCACCCUCUCAGGCCGGCUACUGAUCGUUGCCUUGGUGUGCUUUUACCACUCCAACUAGCUAAUCAGACGCGGGUCCAUCUCAUACCAGAUUUCUCCUUUCCACACAAAAACAUGCGUCCUCGUGCGCUUAUGCGGUUUACCACCAGUUUCCCGAUGCUACUCCCCCUGUACUGAGGCAGGUUGCCCACGCGUUACUCACCCGUCCGCCACUAAGAUACUUCUCUUUCACUCGAAAAGCUUCCAAGCAAUAUCUCCGUUCGACUGCAUGUGUUAGGCACGCCGCCAGCGUUCACUCCUGAGCCGAGGUA
rnacentral:rRNA from 1 species